CACCUCUGGCCCCGUCUUUAAAGGUGGAGUGACGUCUCAGGGGUCCUGUGUGUACAGAACCCGGCCCAGAGCCUCUCACAGCCGGUUACAGGAUUUGAUGCUGAUACUAUGAUGGUGUUUUGCUGACACAGGAAUGCAGGCUCAGGAGCUGGUGUGAAGAUCCUUCCACAAUGCCUGCUACUCGAGCAUCCAGAACUAAAGCACUGAGUCCUUCUUUGUUCCAGGAACUUCCUUGAUUUAAUUUUUCCGAUUGGUGGGUGCUUCUAAUUGGAGAACCUUCCAGAAAGCACAGCCUUUGAGAAGUGGCUGGAUGGCCAAAGGGCUGCCAAUAUUCCCACCUGCCUUCCUCUACUCUGCCAUUCUGACUAUAAAAUCCCCCUGAAGAAACCUUUGUCAGGUCUGAUGCAGGCAGAGUAUGUGGGGAGGUGUUGGGAGUCAGGGCUGAGAAUGCUAGAAGCUUCAUCGCAGAGACAAGAGAAGAGACAGCUGAGUGAGAGACAGUGAGUCAAGAGAGCUCAGCGGAUGCCAAACCUGGAGCAGAUGGAAGUAGGAUGGCAGAGGCCCCAGGGCUUGCAGAAAUCGUGGGGAAGCCACAGGGCACCCCACAGGCACAAGCGAGGGUGCUGGAAUUCAUUUUUACCAAACCUUGCACCUGGCUUACCUGUGAAUCCCAGGGGCUACAGAGCAGCAGGCACACAGCUGGUGGUGGAGGCACAUCUGUGCGGAGGUUCACUGUGGUCUCCAGCCUGGAGCACAGACAUCCCAACCCGGGCUGCAGGGUGAGCACUCGAGUUUGGGGCUCAGAUGGUGGGCUGGCCUUAUGGAACAGACAAGAACUGAGGAGAUUUUCACCGCUGCUGGAGUACCGGACUGACGGGAGACAGAAGCUGUGCGUGGACUGAUGGGAGACGGAAGCUGUGCGUGGACUGAUGGGAGACAGAAGCUGUGCGUGGACUGAUGGGGGACGGAAGCUGUGCGUGGA
rnacentral:lncRNA from 10 species